rnacentral:rRNA from 1 species
AGCGAACGCUGGCGGCAGGCCUAAUACAUGCAAGUCGAACGAAGCCUUCGGGCUUAGUGGCGGACGGGUGAGUAACACGUGGGAACGUGCCCUUUGGUUCGGAACAACUCAGGGAAACUUGAGCUAAUACCGAAUGUGCCCCCUUCCUUGACCGGGAGGGCGGGAAAGAUUUAUCGCCAUUGGAGCGGCCCGCGUCUGAUUAGCUAGUUGGUGGGGUAAAGGCCCACCAAGGCUACGAUCAGUAGCUGGUCUGAGAGGAUGAUCAGCCACACUGGGA